UACGGGGGGGGCAAGCGUUGUUCGGAAUUACUGGGCGUAAAGGGCGCGUAGGUGGCGGCUUAAGCGUGCGGUGAAAGCUCGGGGCUCAACCCCGAGUCGGCCGUGCGAACUGAGUCGCUUGAGCACUGUAGAGGCAGGCGGAAUUCCUGGUGUAGCGGUGGAAUGCGCAGAUAUCAGGAGGAACACCUAUAGCGAAGGCAGCUUGCUGGGACGUUUACUGACGCUAAGGCGCGAAAGCGUGGGGAGCGAACAGG
rnacentral:rRNA from 1 species